rnacentral:tRNA from 1 species
GGGGGUGAUGGUCGAGCGGCGUGACCAGGUCUUGAUGACCUGCUUCGUGCCCUUGUCGUUCUGAACGUCCACCUUUU